rnacentral:rRNA from 1 species
GCACAAGCGGAGGAACAUGUGGUUUAAUUCGAUGAUACGCGAGGAACCUUACCUGGGCUUAAAUGUAGAGUGCAUGGGGUAGAAAUAUCCCUUUCCUUCGGGACUCUUUGCAAGGUGCUGCAUGGUUGUCGUCAGCUCGUGCCGUGAGGUGUCGGGUUAAGUCCCAUAACGAGCGCAACCCUUAUCGUUAGUUGCCAGCGGGUCAUGCCGGGAACUCUAACGAAACUGCCGGUGUAAACCGUGAGGAAGGUGGGGAUGACGUCAAAUCAGCACGGCCCUUAUGUCCAGGGCUACACACGUGUUACAAUGGCCGGUACAGAGGGCAGCUACCUGGAGACAGGAUGCGAAUCUCCAAAGCCGGUCUCAGUUCGGAUCGGAGUCUGCAACUCGACUCCGUGAAGUUGGAAUCGCUAGUAAUCGCGGAUCAGCAUGCCGCGGUGAAUACGUUCCCGGGCCUU